rnacentral:lncRNA from 1 species
ACGUCGGAUGUUUGCUGUAGGACACCUGGAAGAUGGAGAAAAACGAAAGGACGGUGCCUGCCGCCCCCGGAGACCGCGCCUCUGGCGGUGCCGCGUCCUGCUCGCUGGACCCCUCAGGGCCCUGGGGGGGGGGGGUCUCCAGCCCCGGCUGCGGCCCCGCCCCUCUGUACCGCUCGUCCCCGCCCCGCGGCCAAGACCAGGGGCGCGCACUGCAGCCGGGGCCGGGCCGCUCGCUCGCCUCCGCCGCCCUCGCCGCCGCGUCCCGCUAAUGCUGAUGCGCCUCUAAGCAGCCCCCGGUCCCGGAGCCCCUCCCCCCAACCCGUCCCGGAGCACAUCCCCCCCCGUCCCGGAGCACAUCCCCACCCCGUCCCGGAGCUCCCCUGUCCCGGGCGGCGGGCGGCGGGCGGCGGGCGGGCGGCGCUCCUGGGGCACCUGCCGCCCUGCGCGGGGACCCGCCUCGCAUCCCGCCCGCGCGCCGAUCCCUGCGGGGAGGUCCGACUCCGUGGGGUCCCCCGCCCCGUGUCCGUGGGCUCCUCCCCGCCCGUGUCUGUAGGCUCUCCCCACACCAGUGUCCGUGGGCACCUUUCCCUCGUGUCCGUGGGCUCCUCCCCGCCCGUGUCCGUGGGCUCCUUCCCCCCGUGUCCGUGGAUCCCUCCCGCCCGUGUCCGUGGGCUCCUCCCCGCCCGUGUCCGUGGGCUCCUCCCCACUUGCGUCCAUGGGAUCUCCCCCACCCGUGUCCGUGGGUCGUCCUCUCGUCCCCCCGCCCCUCUCCUCCCCGGGUGCGUUCUCCUCCCCUCCUCCCGUCUCCCUCCCUCCCCUCCCCUCCCCUCCCCCCUCCUCUCCUCCCCGCGGGGGGCAGCCGGGGGCGGGGUGCGGGGGUGCGGGGCGCGGUCCGGGCCGUGGGGCGGCGGCGGCCUGCGCGGCGGCGGGCGUCCCGGGCGGGCCCCGGGUGCGGUGACAUCACCGCCCGCCUCCCCGCCCGGUGCUGCCUCCGCGAGGCGCGUCGGUUGGGCCGUUUGCCCGCGUCCGCCGCCGCCAGGGCUCGUCCGGCCGGGCUCGGAGCCGGCAGCGCGGAGCGACGGGACCCGGAGGAGGAGCGAGGCGCGGGCGGGCGGCGCGGGCGGGAGCCCCCGGCGGCGGCAUGAGGCUCAGCCCGGCGCACUACCUGCUGCCGCUGCUGCCGGCGCUGGUGCUCGGCGCCAGACGCUGAACGUACAAAGAGUUUAUCCCAAGGAAGUGAUGAGAAGGUGAAAGGCUGGGAAAAUAAGAGCUGCUGGACACAAUGCCAAGUAGAAGAUCAA